GAUGAACGCUGGCGGCGUGCCUAAUACAUGCAAGUCGAGCGAACGGACGAGAAGCUUGCUUCUCUGAUGUUAGCGGCGGACGGGUGAGUAACACGUGGAUAACCUACCUAUAAGACUGGGAUAACUUCGGGAAACCGUAGCUAAUACCGGAUAAUAUUUUGAACUGCAUGGUUCAAAAGUGAAAGACGGUCUUGCUGUCACUUAUAGAUGGAUCCGCGCUGCAUUAGCUAGUUGGUAAGGUAACGGCUUACCAAGGCAACGAUGCAUAGCCGACCUGAGAGGGUGAUCCGCCACCCCGGAACUGAGGCACCGUCCCGGCUCCUAAGGGAGGCAACAAUAGGGAAAUUUCCGCAAUGGGCGAAAGCCUGACGGAGCAACGCCGCGUGAGUGAUGAAGGUCUUCGGAUCGUAAAACUCUGUUAUUAGGGAAGAACAUAUGUGUAAGUAACUGUGCACAUCUUGACGGUACCUAAUCAGAAAGCCACGGCUAACUACGUG
rnacentral:rRNA from 1 species